rnacentral:rRNA from 1 species
GGAGCCCUGGAACGGGGUCUAAUACCGGAUAUCACACGCUCCCGCAGGGAUGCGUGUGGAAAGCUCCGGCGGUGCAGGAUGAGCCCGCGGCCUAUCAGCUUGUUGGUGGGGUGAUGGCCUACCAAGGCGACGACGGGUAGCCGGCCUGAGAGGGCGACCGGCCACACUGGGACUGAGACACGGCCCAACUCCUACGGGAGGCAGCAGUGGGGAAUAUUGCACAAUGGGCGAAAGCCUGAUGCAGCGACGCCGCGUGAGGGAUGACGGCCUUCGGGUUGUAAACCUCUUUCAGCAGGGAAGAAGCGAGAGUGACGGUACCUGCAGAAGAAGCGCCGGCUAACUACGUGCCAGCAGCCGCGGUAAUACGUAGGGCGCAAGCGUUGUCCGGAAUUAUUGGGCGUAAAGAGCUCGUAGGCGGCUUGUCGCGUCGGAUGUGAAAGCCCGGAGCUUAACUCCGGGUCUGCAUUCGAUACGGGCAGGCUAGAGUUCGGUAGGGGAGAUCGGAAUUCCUGGUGUAGCGGUGAAAUGCGCAGAUAUCAGGAGGAACACCGGUGGCGAAGGCGGAUCUCUGGGCCGAACUGACGCUGAGGAGCGAAAGCGUGGGGGAGCGAACAGGAUUAGAUACCCUGGUAGUCCACGCCGUAAACGUUGGGGAACUAGGUGUGGGCGACAUUCCACGUUGUCCGCGCCGCAGCUAACGCAUUAAGUUCCCCGCCUGGGGAGUACGGCCGCAAGGCUAAAACUCAAAGGAAUUGACGGGGGCCCGCACAAGCGGCGGAGCAUGUGGCUUAAUUCGACGCAACGCGAAGAACCUUACCAAGGCGACAUACACCGGAAACCUCUGGAGACAGGGGCCCCCGUGGUCGGUGUACAGGUGGUGCAUGGC